GACGAACGCUGGCGGCGUGCUUAACACAUGCAAGUCGAACGAUGAACUUGGAGCUUGCUCUGGGGGAUUAGUGGCGAACGGAUGAGUAACACGUGAGUAACCUGCCCUGGACUCUGGGAUAACUUCGAGAAAUCGGAGCUAAUACCGGAUAGGACCUUGCACCGCAUGGUGUGGGGUGGAAAGUUUUUCGGUUUGGGAUGGACUCGCGGCCUAUCAGCUUGUUGGUGAGGUAAUGGCUCACCAAAGCGUCGACAGGUAGCCGGCCUGAGAGGGUGACCGGCCACACUGGGACUGAGACACGGCCCAGACUCCUACGGGAGGCAGCAGUGGGGAAUAUUGCACAAUGGGCGCAAGCCUGAUGCAGCAACGCCGCGUGCGGGAUGACGGCCUUCGGGUUGUAAACCGCUUUUAGUAGGGAAGAAGCCUUCGGGUGACGGUACCUGCAGAAAAAGGACCGGCUAACUACGUGCCAGCAGCCGCCGUAACAC
rnacentral:rRNA from 1 species